GACGAAGGGGGCUAGCGUUGCUCGGAAUGACUGGGCGUAAAGGGCGCGUAGGCGGCGGACACAGUCAGAUGUGAAAUUCCCGGGCUCAACCUGGGGGCUGCAUUUGAUACGUGUUUGCUUGAGUGGGGAAGAGGGUCGUGGAAUUCCCAGUGUAGAGGUGAAAUUCGUAGAUAUUGGGAAGAACACCGGUGGCGAAGGCGGCGACCUGGUCCUUGACUGACGCUGAGUCGCGAAAGCGUGGGGAGCAAACAGG
rnacentral:rRNA from 1 species